UGAUACUAAGCCAUGCGAGUCAUUGUAGCAAUACAAGGCAUACGGCUCAGUAACGCGUAGUCAACCUAACCUAUGGACGGGAAUAACCUCGGGAAACUGAGAAUAAUGCCCGAUAGAACAUUAUGCCUGGAAUGGUUUAUGUUCCAAAUGAUUUAUCGCCGUAGGAUGGGACUGCGGCCUAUCAGUUUGUUGGUGAGGUAAUGGCCCACCAAGACUAUUACAGGUACGGGCUCUGAGAGGAGUAGCCCGGAGAUGGGUACUGAGACACGGACCCAGGCCCUAUGGGGCGCAGCAGGCGAGAAAACUUUGCAAUGUGCGAAAGCACGACAAGGUUAAUCCGAGUGGUUUCUGCUAAAGGAACCUUUUGUCAGUCCUAGAAACACUGAUGAAUAAGGGGUGGGCAAGUUCUGGUGUCAGCCGCCGCGGUAAAACCAGCACCUCAAGUGGUCAGGAUGAUUAUUGGGCCUAAAGCAUCCGUAGCCGGCUCUGUAAGUUUUCGGUUAAAUCUGUACGCUCAACGUACAGGCUGCCGGGAAUACUGCAGAGCUAGGGAGUGGGAGAGGUAGACGGUACUCGGUAGGAAGGGGUAAAAUCCUUUGAUCUAUUGAUGACCACCUGUGGCGAAGGCGGUCUACCAGAACACGUCCGACGGUGAGGGAUGAAAGCUGGGGGAGCAAACCGGAUUAGAUACCCGGGUAGUCCCAGCUGUAAACCAUGCAAACUCAGUGAUGCAUUGGCUUGUGGCCAAUGCAGUGCUGCAGGGAAGCCGUUAAGUUUGCCGCCUGGGAAGUACGUACGCAAGUAUGAAACUUAAAGGAAUUGGCGGGGGAGCACCACAAGGGGUGAAGCCUGCGGUUCAAUUGG
rnacentral:rRNA from 1 species